rnacentral:rRNA from 1 species
UAAGACGAACCGUCCAAACGUUAUUCGGUAUCACUGGGCUUAAAGCGUGCGUAGGCGGCUUGGUAGGUGAGAUGUGAAAGCCCACGGCUCAACCGUGGAAUUGCGUUUCAAACCCCCAAGCUCGAGGAAGAUAGGGGUGAUGGGAACUUAUGGUGGAGCGGUGAAAUGCGUUGAUAUCAUAGGGAACACCGGUGGCGAAAGCGCAUCACUGGAUCUUUUCUGACGCUGAGGCACGAAAGCUAGGGUAGCGAACGGGAUUAGAUACCCCGGUAGUCCUAGCCGUAAACGAUGAACACUGGGUUGAGGGGACUUCCACAUCCUCUCGGCCGUAGCGAAAGCGUUAAGUGUUCCGCCUGGGGGAGUAUGGUCGCAAGGCUG